rnacentral:rRNA from 1 species
CCUACGGGGGGCAGCAGUAGGGAAUAUUGCUCAAUGGGGGAAACCCUGAAGCAGCAACGCCGCGUGGAGGAUGAAGGUUUUCGGAUUGUAAACUCCUUUUGUUAGAGAAGAUAAUGACGGUAUCUAACGAAUAAGCACCGGCUAACUCCGUGCCAGCAGCCGCGGUAAUACGGAGGGUGCAAGCGUUACUCGGAAUCACUGGGCGUAAAGAGCGCGUAGGCGGGAUAGCAAGUCAGAUGUGAAAUCCGAUGGCUUAACCAUAGAACUGCAUUUGAAACUGUUAUUCUAGAGUAUGGGAGAGGUAGGUGGAAUUCUUGGUGUAGGGGUAAAAUCCGUAGAGAUCAAGAGGAAUACUCAUUGCGAAGGCGACCUACUAGAACAUAACUGACGCUGAUGCGCGAAAGCGUGGGGAGCAAACAGGAUUAGAUACCCGGGUAGUC